GGUCUAAUAGCAUAGCGGUUAAUGCACUAGAAUAAGUUUAAAAGCAUUCUAUGAACAAUUAUUCUGAGUACCCUUGUUCGACUCAAGGCUGGACCA